GGCCCGUUGGUCAAGCGGUUAAGACACCGCCCUUUCACGGCGGUAACACGGGUUCGAAUCCCGUACGGGUCGCCC
rnacentral:tRNA from 1 species